GGAGGUAUAACUCAGUUGGGAGAGCAGCAAACUGAGGUUAGCACAUAUUCUGAAGGUCCCACGUUCAAUCCGCGGUACCCCA